rnacentral:lncRNA from 1 species
CAAAUAACUGAGAGUUCAAUACAUGAGUUUUUGCACUAUAAUUCACAAUCAUUUAUAUAUCAGCAUACGUGUAUUAAAAUAAUCUUCAGGUUACCUUUCCUUGAUGCAAAAAAUGGCUUUUGUCAUAAGUUGAAAACAGAUCACAAAAAUUAGCUUACAAAUUUUGGUUAUGGUAUAAAGAUGGAUAUUGAUAAUCAGUAGUGUAUAACAAUAAUUAUUAAACAAGGAACAGA